rnacentral:lncRNA from 1 species
CUUGGGGAGACCUGGGAAUUGAGAGAAAUUUCUGACCCAGUGCAACUGGAGGUUCCUUGUUACACUUCCUAGGUGAGGUGCUCACUUAUCAGUGGAACAUCCCAGAGAGAUCUGGCCCUGGGCCCAAUGACUCUGCUUGUGUUUCCUGGAUCUAUUAUUCUGCAGUGGAUCCCAUCAAGGACAUGUAUAGUGGCCUGGUGGGGCCCUUGACUAUCUGCCGAAAGGGCAUCCUGGAGCCCCACGGAGGACGGAGUGACAUGGACCGGGAAUUUGCGUUGUUGUUUUUGAUUUUUGAUGAAAAUCAGUCUUGGUAUUUGGAGGAAAAUGUGGCAACCCAUGGGUCCCAGGAUCCAGGCAGUAUUAAUCUACAGGAUGAAACUUUCUUGGAGAGUAAUAAAAUGCAUGCAAUCAAUGGGAAACUCUAUGCCAACCUUAGAGGUCUUACCAUGUACCAAGGAGAACGAGUGGCCUGGUACAUGCUGGGCAUGGGCCAAGAUGUGGAUCUGCAUACCAUCCACUUUCAUGCAGAGAGCUUUCUGUAUCGGGUGAGCUGGAAAGUGGGCUGAGUCCCUCAAGGAUGAUUAGAACAGUGGUUUAGGAGCAAUUGAGAAAAAGGGUAAUAGCGUGGAACAAGGUAACAAUUAGUUAAAAGAGCAGAGGUCUAGUAAAUGGAGCACUGAGCUGGAAAUUUUAGUCUGGCUGUAUAUCCCAGGGUCAAUAACUUCCUACUAGGCCCUAGCUUUCCCUUCUGAUGUGGAAGAGAAAAAAUGGCCCAUUUAUAGGUAAGGAGACUGAAGGAAUCAAUAUCAAGACUCAAUGUCAAGGACUCAAUGUCAAGGAAUCAAUGUCAAGGACUUGAGACUCAAUGAGCAGUGAUUUUUAAGAACAAGGAAUGUCAGGGUGGCAUCUCAGAAUUGCUGAAAGUCCUUAAUCUAUUAAAAGAAGAGCUUACCAAACACCGCAUGUUCUUACUCAUGGGUGGGAACUGAACAAUGAGAUCACUUGGACUCGGGAAGGGGAACAUCAC